rnacentral:rRNA from 1 species
AGAGUUUGAUCCUGGCUCAGGAUGAACGCUGGCGGCGUGCUUAACACAUGCAAGUCGAACGGUGAAGCCCAGCUUGCUGGGUGGAUCAGUGGCGAACGGGUGAGUAACACGUGAGCAAUCUGCCCCUGACUCUGGGAUAAGCGCUGGAAACGGCGUCUAAUACUGGAUAUGAACCGUGGAGGCAUCUUCAACGGUUGGAAAGAUUUUUUGGUCAGGGAUGAGCUCGCGGCCUAUCAGCUUGUUGGUGAGGUAAUGGCUCACCAAGGCGUCGACGGGUAGCCGGCCUGAGAGGGUGACCGGCCACACUGGGACUGAGACACGGCCCAGACUCCUACGGGAGGCAGCAGUGGGGAAUAUUGCACAAUGGGCGCAAGCCUGAUGCAGCAACGCCGCGUGAGGGAUGACGGCCUUCGGGUUGUAAACCUCUUUUAGCAGGGAAGAAGCGAAAGUGACGGUACCUGCAGAAAAAGCGCCGGCUAACUACGUGCCAGCAGCCGCGGUAAUACGUAGGGCGCAAGCGUUAUCCGGAAUUAUUGGGCGUAAAGAGCUCGUAGGCGGUUUGUCGCGUCUGCUGUGAAAUCCCGAGGCUCAACCUCGGGUCUGCAGUGGGUACGGGCAGACUAGAGUGCGGUAGGGGAGAUUGGAAUUCCUGGUGUAGCGGUGGAAUGCGCAGAUAUCAGGAGGAACACCGAUGGCGAAGGCAGAUCUCUGGGCCGUAACUGACGCUGAGGAGCGAAAGGGUGGGGAGCAAACAGGCUUAGAUACCCUGGUAGUCCACCCCGUAAACGUUGGGAACUAGUUGUGGGGUCCAUUCCACGGAUUCCGUGACGCAGCUAACGCAUUAAGUUCCCCGCCUGGGGAGUACGGCCGCAAGGCUAAAACUCAAAGGAAUUGACGGGGACCCGCACAAGCGGCGGAGCAUGCGGAUUAAUUCGAUGCAACGCGAAGAACCUUACCAAGGCUUGACAUAUACGAGAACGCUGCAGAAAUGUAGAACUCUUUGGACACUCGUAAACAGGUGGUGCAUGGUUGUCGUCAGCUCGUGUCGUGAGAUGUUGGGUUAAGUCCCGCAACGAGCGCAACCCUCGUUCUAUGUUGCCAGCACGUAAUGGUGGGAACUCAUGGGAUACUGCCGGGGUCAACUCGGAGGAAGGUGGGGAUGACGUCAAAUCAUCAUGCCCCUUAUGUCUUGGGCUUCACGCAUGCUACAAUGGCCGGUACAAAGGGCUGCAAUACCGUAAGGUGGAGCGAAUCCCAAAAAGCCGGUCCCAGUUCGGAUUGAGGUCUGCAACUCGACCUCAUGAAGUCGGAGUCGCUAGUAAUCGCAGAUCAGCAACGCUGCGGUGAAUACGUUCCCGGGUCUUGUACACACCGCCCGUCAAGUCAUGAAAGUCGGUAACACCUGAAGCCGGUGGCCCAACCCUUGUGGAGGGAGCCGUCGAAGGUGGGAUCGGUAAUUAGGACUAAGUCGUAACAAGGUAGCCGUACCGGAAGGUGCGGNUGGAUCACCUCCU